AACGGUCUAUACCUGCGGUACCUGCGGAAGGAUCAUCAUUGAAUAACAACCUUUUUCAAGCUUGGAAGAGGGGGGAGGGAGAGUUUUCUCUUUUGUUCUCUUCUUUCUGGCUUGCAAAAAGCAAACAACUUUGAUACCCAAAAAGAGUCGCAUUCUUUUUCCUGGUUGUCUCUUCGGUCUUUUGCAGCUUUUCCAGCUUAUUUAUUUGGGUUGGUUGAUGCUGUGGGAGGCCGGGAGACA
rnacentral:misc_RNA from 1 species